rnacentral:lncRNA from 1 species
AAAAAUAAAAAGUUGAAGGGUAGCCGUGGCCUUCCCACGCCCCCUCAGUUCCGCCACUGAGUAAAAAACAAUUGUUUCACAAAAAUAGGUAAGCUAUUUUGCAGCAAGUUAAAAAGCAUUUUUGAUUACUUCCCUUUCCAUCAAUAGACAUCUAUUUGAAGAAAAAACAGCACCAAAAAAGAAAAAAGAAAAAGCCUAGCAGCAUAAAAAAUCAGAUAAAAACACAGAAGGAACCAUAUUCGAAAAUCACCAAGAAAUUUCAGCAAC